rnacentral:rRNA from 1 species
AUCAACUUUCGAUGGUAGGAUAGAGGCCUACCAUGGUGGUAACGGGUAACGGGGUGUUAGGGCACGACACCGGAGAGGGAGCCUGAGAAACGGCUACCACAUCCAAGGAUGGCAGCAGGCGCGCAAAUUACCCAAUCCCGACACGGGGAGGUAGUGACAAUAAAUAACAAUACGGGGUUCUUUUGGAUUUCGUAAUUGGAAUGAGUACAAUUUAAAUCUCUUAACGAGGAACAAUUGGAGGGCAAGUCUGGUGCCAGCAGCCGCGGUAAUUCCAGCUCCAAUAGCGUAUAUUAAAGUUGUUGCAGUUAAAAAGCUCGUAGUUGAAUUUCGGGGUUAGUAGGUCGGUCAUGCCACUGGUAUGCACUGGACUCACUGAUUCCUCCUUCCUGAUGAACCGUAAUGCCAUUAAUUUGGUGUUGCGGGGAGACUGGACUGUUACUUUGAAAAAAUUAGAGUGUUUAAAGCAGGCUAACGCUUGAAUACAUUAGCAGGGAAUAACGGAAUAGGACGUUCGAUCUUAUUUUGUUGGUUUCUAAGAUUGACGUAAUGAUUAAUAGGGAUAGUUGGGGGCAUUAGUAUUCAAUUGUCAGAGGUGAAAUUCUUGGAUUUAUUGAAGACUAACUACUGCGAAAGCAUUUGCCAAGGAUGUUUUCAUUAAUCAAGAACGAAAGUUAGGGGAUCGAAGACGAUCAGAUACCGUCGUAGUCUUAACCAUAAACUAUGCCGACUAGGGAUCGGAUGAUGUUAAUUUUUUAAUGACUCAUUCGGCGCCUUACGGGAAACCAAAGUGUUUGGGUUC